GAUGAACGCUGGCGGCGUGCCUAACACAUGCAAGUCGAACGGACUUUAAAUGAAGCCUAGCGAUUUUAAAGUUAGUGGCGGACGGGUGAGUAACGCGUGGGUAACCUGCCGUAUACAGGGGGAUAACACUUAGAAAUAGGUGCUAAUACCGCAUAAGCGCACAGUUUCGCAUGGAACAGUGUGAAAAACUCCGGUGGUAUACGAUGGACCCGCGUCUGAUUAGCUAGUUGGUGAGGUAACGGCUCACCAAGGCGACGAUCAGUAGCCGGCCUGAGAGGGUGAACGGCCACAUUGGGACUGAGACACGGCCCAAACUCCUACGGGAGGCAGCAGUGGGGAAUAUUGCACAAUGGGGGAAACCCUGAUGCAGCGACGCCGCGUGAGUGAAGAAGUAUUCGGUAUGUAAAGCUCUAUCAGCAGGGAAGGAAGAAAUGACGGUACCUGACUAAGAAGCACCGGCUAAAUACGUG
rnacentral:rRNA from 1 species